rnacentral:lncRNA from 14 species
CAGUGGAAGCCACUGGAGACCACAGACACCCAAGCUCGUCCCUCCAAUUCCACACAGCUGUGCUGUGCAGGUGGUAGAGCUUAGCCUGUGAUUGCAGCCUUCAAAUACUGCUCUGGGAGUGCUGGGGUUUCAUUUGCUGCUCUGCUACAGGAUCAGUCACACCUCUGCACUUUGCUAAUGGUCCUUUGGUUGUAAGUAUGUGUUUAUAUACCCACUGUAAUAUUUAAUAAGGAAUAAUACCCACGUGUAUGUGUAUCUGUAUCAGUAUCAGUAGUUUUGUCUUCCAGCUUAGCCUCUAAGAUGGGAGAAGCAGUGGAAAUGGAUGGAGUUUAGGUUAAUGAAUAGUGAGUCACUAGUAAUUGUACAGGCUUUGGAGACUGCUUGAAGAUGAGCUCCUGGUUUGUGAGUACCACUUAUUGAAUUCUUUUUAGUCAUUUGUCUUUCUCUUUCUUACUAAAUCUUAGUAAAUGAAGUAAUUCUGGUUUUGAAAAGAGCAGAUGUCAUCCAUCUUAGGGAAAUUAUCAAGAUCCCAAGAAGGCUGAAAAUCACUGGGAGGACAUGGGAGUGUGUGCCUGCCUGCGGAUGCUCUGCAGUUCCCAAUACCCGGACAGUGAAGGAAUAAACGCAGGAACUCUCUUCCUACAAUACUCUGCAGGCAUACAUCUGUACAGAACAGUCAUCCAGCUCCCUUACAGCUACUUUAAUGUGUACUACCGAUAAUAUAUGUCAUGAUGUUUUCAUGCCUUGGAAAACCUGCAAGCAAGGGUAAGUUUAAGUGUAAGACUCCACUGUUUUCAUUUUCUUGCAUUAUCAAAGUGUGUUCACCUCAGGUUAAUGACACAGCAAGUGGAAGUGAGCUGGAGA